AACCCACGACCUCCUGUUUACCAGGCGAAGGUGUCCACAUCUCGCCAUCGUGGCACCCCUUAUCUUAGCCAUUGGUGUCAAUGGAAUUAGAGUUGCCGGGAUGCAUUGCGCAGUACGCUAACCACUGCGCCCUAGAACCAAAACUGCAAGCAAACGGGCAGAUAGUAAAUAGCGCCUGUUGCACGAGUGAAAACUCCUCCUUACCUUUCCCUCCUCCCAACACAUACAUCACAUGACACACACGUCCGCACGGACACACACACACACCUACACACCUGCCCUGCAUGCCAAACCAAUGAAACGUUAAACUCAGCUCCAGCAUUGGCGGUAGGUGGAAGAUUCUUAUCUAAGACGCGCUAAUUAAAAAGUCCGCCUACUUUAAGGCGUGUCCGUCCAAUCAGGUGCUCCUCCGUGCGAUAUGUAACUGCGGCCCACGGCGAGAGCGUCGAGAAGGAGAGAGGAGAGGAGAGAGACGCUCACAGCCUCGGCGGCAAGAGGAGGAGGAGAGAGCUGAGAAAUUGUCCAAGUCGGAUUCGUCCGCAUCGCGGGUCUCGCACGCUCUUAAACAGCCGUUCAAGGUGACUGACGGGAAUGUUUUUUUUACAUUUGGCCGCAUGUCAGAUGCAACUUCAUCCCCUCGCCUGCGUCGACUUUCCAGACCAUUUAUCUUCUCGCAGCACAACAAAUGUGUGUCACGGGUUUAUCCCCUCUCCUGCUAAGGGUGACGAUAACAUGGCCGUUUCUUCAAUACUGUUUCAAAAAAGGAUUUGAGUCUGGAAAUAUGAACGACUUCCAAUACCUGUGCCUCCCGAAUGUUUUAAUGCUUUUUGUAAAACACGAUAAGAUGAUGUUGCCAAUUUUGGGCAGGAAUCCAAGGGUGGUGUGGAGGACUUAUUUUUUUUUAAGAUAUCUCUCUCCAACUCUCACGAGACUGACUGCGCUCUUAAAGCCAAACUGGAUUUCUCAUACACACUCGCGGGUACUGAAACGGAACAGGUCUGUCUGGAACACUACAGUGGCCCACAAAAAGCCACGGUGGAAAGAAAGAAAUGAAAUGAAAUUAAUAAACCCACCGGAGACGCUGAAACCGCUUCUCCUUCUUCUUCAUCAUCAUCAUCAUCCUCCUCCUUCUCCUCCAUGCAAUUCCCACGAUUUCCGACGUCCUUCAUUCCACCGGAGUCUGUCAGGCUUAAACGACAGAUUUCGGGGGAUGAAGUGCAUCGGUCGUAGGGUAAAGCGACGGAGCUUUCUCAAGAAUCAACGCGACAAACAAGACAGCCACGACGCCUCCUCUGCAUUCCGAUGCGACGCUUUCGGCACUUGUCAUUAUUGCGGGGGUGUGAUGCUAAAACUGCUGUCCGUGUGCGUUUGUCAGUUUGUGGUAUUGAUCGUUUAAAAUAAAUCGCGUGAAUUUGA